rnacentral:rRNA from 1 species
UACGUAGGGGGCAAGCGUUGUCCGGAUUUAUUGGGCGUAAAGAGCGUGUAGGCGGCCACACAGGUCUGCUGUGAAAACUCGAGGCUCAACCUCCGAGACGCCGGUGGAAACCAUCAAGGCUAGAGUCCGGAAGAGGAGAGUGGAAUUCCUGGUGUAGAGGUGAAAUUCGUAGAUAUUAGGAAGAACACCAGUGGCGAAGGCGGCUCACUGGCCCGGUACUGACGCUGAGGCGCGAAAGCGUGGGGAGCAAACAGG